AGUGAACGCUGGCGGUAGGCCUAACACAUGCAAGUCGAACGGCAGCACAGUAAGAGCUUGCUCUUACGGGUGGCGAGUGGCGGACGGGUGAGGAAUACAUCGGAAUCUACUUUUUCGUGGGGGAUAACGUAGGGAAACUUACGCUAAUACCGCAUACGACCUACGGGUGAAAGCAGGGGAUCUUCGGACCUUGCGCGAUUGAAUGAGCCGAUGUCGGAUUAGCUAGUUGGCGGGGUAAAGGCCCACCAAGGCGACGAUCCGUAGCUGGUCCGAGAGGAUGAUCAGCCACACUGGAACUGAGACACGGUCCAGACUCCUACGGGAGGCAGCAGUGGGGAAUAUUGGACAAUGGGCGCAAGCCUGAUCCAGCCAUACCGCGUGGGUGAAGAAGGCCUUCGGGUUGUAAAGCCCUUUUGUUGGGAAAGAAAAGCAGCAGGUUAAUACCCCGCUGUUCUGACGGUACCCAAAGAAUAAGCACCGGCUAACUCCGU
rnacentral:rRNA from 1 species